rnacentral:rRNA from 1 species
AUUGAACGCUGGCGGCAGGCUUAACACAUGCAAGUCGAGCGAGCGGCGGACGGGUGAGUAAUGUCUGGGAAACUGCCUGAUGGAGGGGGAUAACUACUGGAAACGGUAGCUAAUACCGCAUACUAUCGGAUGAACCCAUAUGGGAUUAGCUAGUAGGUGAGGUAAUGGCUCACCUAGGCGACGAUCCCUAGCUGGUCUGAGAGGAUGAUCAGCCACACUGGGACUGAGACACGGCCCAGACUCCUACGGGAGGCAGCAGUGGGGAAUAUUGCACAAUGGGCGCAAGCCUGAUGCAGCGACGCCGCGUGGGGGAUGAAGGCUUUCGGGUUGUAAACCUCUUUCGCUAUCGAACGGGUAGGUGGAGAAGAAGCGCCGGCUAACUACGUGCCAGCAGCCGCGGUAAUUC